rnacentral:rRNA from 1 species
UACAGAGGGGGCAAGCGUUGUUCGGAAUUACUGGGCGUAAAGGGCGCGUAGGCGGCCUGCUAAGUCGAACGUGAAAUCCCUGGGCUCAACCCAGGAACUGCGUCCGAUACUGGUUGGCUUGAAUUCGGGAGAGGGAUGUGGAAUUCCAGGUGUAGCGGUGAAAUGCGUAGAUAUCUGGAGGAACACCGGUGGCGAAGGCGGCGUCCUGGACCAACACUGACACUGAUGAGCGAAAGCCAGGGGAGCAAACGGG